UACCAGCACCCCGAGUGGUCGGGACGUUUAUUGGGCCUAAAGCAUCCAUAGCCGGUUCUGCAAGUCUUCCGUUAAAUCCACCUGCUUAACAGAUGGGCCGCGGAAGAUACUAUAGAGCUAGGAGGCGGGAGAGGCAAGCGGUACUCGAUGGGUAGGGGUAAAAUCCGUUGAUCCAUUGAAGACCACCAGUGGCGAAGGCGGCUUGCCAGAACGCGCUCGGCGGUGAGGGAUGAAAGCUGGGGGAGCAAACCGG
rnacentral:rRNA from 1 species